CAGCCGCCGCGGUAAUACCGGCGGCCCGAGUGGCGGUCACUAUUAUUGGGCUUAAAGCGUCCGUAGCCGGGUUGGGAAGUCCUCCGGGAAAUCUGGCCGCUUAACGGUCAGAAUGCCGGAGGAUACUCCCAGCCUAGGGAGCGGGAGAGGCCGAGGGUAUUCCCGGAGUAGGGGGGAAAUCCUAUAAUCCCGGGGGGACCACCGGUGGCGAAGGCGCUCGGCUGGACCGGGUCCGACGGUGAGGGACGAAGGCCAGGGGAGCAAACCGGAUUAGAUACCCGGGUAGUCCUGGCGGUAAACGAUGCGGACUUUGUGUCGGACAAGCUAUGAGCUUGUCCGGUGCCGCAGGGAAGCCGUUAAGUCCGCCGCCUGGGGAGUACGGCCGCAAGGCUGAAACUUAAAGGAAUUGGCGGG
rnacentral:rRNA from 1 species